UCUGCAUCUAUAUACCAAAGCUUGUACAAAACCAAACAAUAAUUUAUUUGUCAAGACAAAGGUAGGGGUGUGACUUCUCAGAAAUGUUCAUCUGUUUCCCAGAACUGCCUGUUGGUCUGUUGUUGAGCGGCUGGUAUCACCCUCCCCCCCAUUAUCCCCCACGUUGUUCCACCUCCGCUUCUGGGAGGAACCAGGCGAGGCCACAGAUCAGACUCCUCCAUCUCAUCCCACCAACUCUGUCAGUCCACCAGGCCCCACAAUGCAGCCUCCACACCACUGCAGUAACAGCCACAUCUUCCCAUCACAAAGCUUCAGUACUAUCUGAAUGUGUUGAAGUACCAUCCAGGAUCCUGUGGCAACGUCAAUGUGAAACAGCAUUGACCCCUGAUCACCACCAACCAGGACUCCACAGCGGUUGCCUUGGACACCCAGUGAAACAGCAUUGACCCCUGAUCACCACCAACCAGGGCCCCACAGUGGUUGCCUUGGACACCCAGUGAAACAGCAUUGACCCCUGAUCACCACCAACCAGGGCCCCACAGCGGUUGCCUUGGACACCCAGUGAAACAGCAUUGACCCCUGAUCACCACCAACCAGGGCCCCACAGUGGUUGCCUUGGACACCCAGUGAAACAGCAUUGACCCCUGAUCACCACCAACCAGGGCCCCACAGCGGUUGCCUUGGACACCCAGUGAAACAGCAUUGACCCCUGAUCACCACCAACCAGGGCCCCACAGCGGUUGCCUUGGACACCCAGUGAAACAGCAUUGAUCCCUGAUCACCACCAACCAGGGCCCCACAGCGGUUGCCUUGGACACCCAGUGAAACAGCAUUGACCCCUGAUCACCACCAACCAGGGCCCCACAGCGGUUGCCUUGGACACCCAGUGAAACAGCAUUGACCCCUGAUCACCACCAACCAGGGCCCCACAGCGGUUGCCUUGGAUACCCAGUGAAACAGCAUUGACCCCUGAUCACCACCAACCAGGGCUCCACAGUGGUUGCCUUGGAUACCCAGUGAAACAGCAUUGACCCCUGAUCACCACCAACCAGGGCCCCACAGCGGUUGCCUUGGACACCCAGUGAAACAGCAUUGACCCCUGAUCACCACCAACCAGGGCCCCACAGCGGUUGCCUUGGAUACCCAGUGAAACAGCAUUGACCCCUGAUCACCACCAACCAGGGCUCCACAGUGGUUGCCUUGGACACCCAGUGAAACCAGAGAGAGCACACCAGGCAGCAGGGAGCACUUUGAUGUGAUUGGCUGUUCAGCAGGAAGAUUCAUCUGGCUAAA